rnacentral:rRNA from 1 species
ACAACUCUCAACAACGGAUAUCUCGGUUCCCGCAACGAUGAAGAACGCAGCGAAAUGCGACACCUGGUGUGAAUUGCAGAAUUCCGCGAAUCAUCGAGUCUUCGAACGCACCCUGCGCCCGAGGACUCGUCCUCAGGGCACGCCUGCCUCGGCGCCCGCUGUACACGCCUCGCGCUCCUCCUUUUUUCACGAAAAAAGGAGCCGCGGACCUGGCUGUCUCCGCUCGUCCCCCCCACUGGGCGGGAGGAGCGGAGUCCGCUGCAGCGCAGAGGGCGCGGCUGCAGUCGCCUCGCAGCGCCGCGCGGGCUGGUAGGACGGUCCGCCGUCGAACGCCUCCCGCGCGGCCAGCGGCUGCCCGCCCGCCCCAACUCGAUAUGAAAAACAUUCGGGCACGAGUUCAGACGAGACCACCCGCUCAACUUAAGCAUAUCAGUCGGCGGAGGAAAAGAAACUAACCAGGAUUCCCCUAGUAGCGGCGAGCGAAGCGGGAAGAGCCCAGCGUGAGAAUCCGCGGCCCUCGGCCGCCGAAUUGUAGUCUGGAGAGGCGUCCUCUGCGGCGGGACGUGCCCAAGUCCACUGGAAGGUGGCGUCGUAGAGGGUGAGAACCCCGUCGGCACGCGCCGCGGCCGCUCCACGAGGGCGCCUUCGCAGAGUCGGGUUGCUCGGGAGUGCAGCCCCAAGCCGGUGGUAAAUCCCAUCGAAGGCUGAAUACUGGCGGGAGACCGAUAGCGAACAAGUACCGUGAGGGAAAGAUGAAAAGAACUUUGAAAAGAGAGUCAAAAAGUGCUUGAAAUUGUUGAGGGGGAAGGGAACGGAAGCCGCGGGUGCACCCGGGCCUGUGUCGGGCCCGACGGCCCGGCGGAACGCUCCGGGUGCCGGUCAGCGUGGGGCGGCCGGGCGGGACACGUGCGCCGCAUGUGCGGCGCCGCUGCCGCCCGGGCGCCCGAGGCAGUGCGGGGGCGCUGCUCCAGUGGCAGCCGCGCUUGCGCGGCCGCGCCCCCCGCGACGCUGGCGGAAGGCUUCCGUUCCGCCCGUCUUGAAACACGGACCAAGGAGUGCAACGCGCGUGCGAGCCGGUGGGCGUCAAACCCACGAGGCGCAGGCAACCCGAGCAGCGGUGGGACGGCCGUCACAGGCCCGCACCAUCGACCGACCUUGAUCCUCGCGUGAAGGGUUCGAGUGGGAGCAGGCGCGUUACGACCCGAAAGAUGGUGAACUAUGCCCGAGCAGGGCGAAGCCAGGGGAAACCCUGGUGGAGGCUCGUAGAUGUGCUGACGUGCAAAUCGCUUUUCGGACUCGGGUAUAGGGGCGAAAGACUAAUCGAACCGUCUAGUAGCUGGUUCCCUCCGAAGUUUCCCCCAGGAUAGCAGGAGCUCGGACCGGUUUCGUCAGGUAAAGCGAAUGAUUAGAGGUUCGGGGGGCGACGCGCCCUCCACCUAUUCUCAAACUUUAAAUAGGCGAGACGCCGGCGUCGCUUGCUUGGACGCCGGCCGCGAACGGGAGCUCCUAGUGGGCCAUUUUUGGUAAGCAGAACUGGCGAUGCGGGAUGAACCGAAAGCCGGCCUAAGGCGCCUCACUGCUCGCUAACCCAGACCCCACAAAGGGUGUCGUUCGAUACAGACAGCCGGACGGUGGUCAUGGAAGUCGAAACCCGCUCAGGAGUGUGUAACAACUCACCGGCCGAAUCGAGCGGCCCCGAAAAUGGAUGGCGCUGAAGCGAGCGGCCGAUGGCCGGCCGCGGCCGCGAGUGCGAGGCGGCCGUGAGUAGGAGGGCGCGGGCGUCGCGACGCAGCCCGCGGCGUGAGCCGGGGUGAAGCGGCGCCUGGUGCAGAUCUUGGUGGGAGUAGCAACUAUUCAAAUGAGAACUUUGAAGGCCGACGUGGAGAAAGGUUCCACGUGAACAGCGCUUGGACGUGGGUUAGUCGACCCUGAGCGCCCGGCGAAAGCCGGCGAGGGAGUGGCGCCGUCUGUGCGCAGCCCACCGAAAGGGAAAAGGGUCAAGAUUCCCUUACCGACGACACGGCGAUGACGGCGACGUAAACGAGCCCGGAGACGCCCGCGCUGGCCCCGAGGAGAGUUGUCUGUUCUCCUUGACACACCGCCGGCGCGCCCUGGAGUUGGGCUCAGCCCGAGAUAGGGCGCAGCGGCCGGUAAAGCGCCGCGCCUGUGCGGCGGCAGGGACGCCAGCGCGGGCCCCUGAAAAUCCGGGGGAGCGCUUUCGAACGUGCGAGGUCGUACUCAUAACCGCAUCAGGUCUCCGAGGUGAGCAGCCUCUGGUCGAUGGAGCGAUGUAGAUAAGGGAAGUCGGCAAAACGGGUCCGUAACUUCGGGAGAUGGACUGGCUCUGAGGGUCGGGCCCGGGGGACCGCGCCCGGAACCCGGCGGCUGUCGGCCGCCUGCCCGAGCCGCCUCGCGCGGCGAGGGCGGGCGGCCGCGUGCCGCCGGCGGAGGGGCGCGGGUGCCGUCCGCGGUGCUCCCCGGGCGACGAACGACCGGCUCAGAACUGGUACGGACAAGGGGAAUCCGACUGUUUAAUUAAAACAAAGCAUCGCGACGGUGCCUGCGCAUGCUGACGCGAUGUGAUUUCUGCCCAGUGCUCUGAAUGUCAAAGCGAAGAGAUUCGACCAAGCGCGGGUAAACGGCGGGAGUAACUAUGACUCUCUUUAGAUCAAAGUGGCUAUCUUGGGAGAGGAGAGGGCUCUGAUUGCAGGCCCUAGUCUGCCCUUCUUCUCGUAGAGGAGGAGAAGGGAGGCGAGACCGUCAAAUUGCGGGGACCCGUCGCCAGGUCCUGCCCACCAAGCGGCCGCCCGAAAGGGCGCCGUGGCCCUUCUCCACCAGGAGGAGGGAGCGGUGACAGCGGCAGGAAUCAGACGCGACCCGCAGCCAAGUCCUACCGGCGCCCCCGCGCGCCCAAGGAUGCAGUUCACAGACUAGAUGGUGGUCGGUCUCUGCCUUUCUGAGCGGAGGCUUAAGAUAUAGUCGGGCCCGCCCGAGAGGGCGCCCGUGGACAAAGGCCAGCUCUAGCAGCGGCCCCGAGCCACGGGAGGCGGACUGCUGCUCCUCCUAAUAAGAAAGGGAAGCGUCCGCCGGGGUGUCACCGUAAGGUAGCCAAAUGCCUCGUCAUCUAAUUAGUGACGCGCAUGAAUGGAUUAACGAGAUUCCCACUGUCCCUAUCUACUGUCCAGCGAAA